AGCUCAGUCGGUAGAGCGACGGACUGUUAAUCCGCAGGUCGCUGGUUCAAGUCCAGCAGGAGGAGCCA
rnacentral:tRNA from 2 species